rnacentral:tRNA from 1 species
GGCGGCAUAGCCAAGUGGUAAGGCGGAGGCCUGCAAAGCCUUUAUACUCCGGUUCGAAUCCGGAUGCCGCCUCCA